AACGAACGCUGGCGGCAUGCCUAACACAUGCAAGUCGAACGAGACCUUCGGGUCUAGUGGCGCACGGGUGCGUAACGCGUGGGAACCUGCCCUUAGGUUCGGAAUAAAUCCCCGAAAGGGGUUCUAAUACCGGAUAAUGUCUUCGGACCAAAGAUUUAUCGCCUUUGGAUGGGCCCGCGUUGGAUUAGCUAGUUGGUAGGGUAAAAGCCUACCAAGGCGACGAUCCAUAGCUGGUCUGAGAGGAUGAUCAGCCACACUGGGACUGAGACGCGGCCCAGACUCCUACGGGAGGCAGCAGUGGGGAAUAGUGGACAAUGGGCGAAAGCCUGAUCCAGCAAUGCCGCGUGAGUGAUGAAGGCCUUAGGGUUGUAAAGCUCUUUUACCCGGGAUGAUAAUGACAGUAUCGGGAGAAUAAGCUCCGGCUAACUCCGUG
rnacentral:rRNA from 1 species